AGAGUUUGAUCCUGGCUCAGAACGAACGCUGGCGGCGUGCCUAACACAUGCAAGUCGAACGAGAAACUCCGGGCUUGCUCGGAGAAGUACAGUGGCGCACGGGUGAGUAACGCGUGGGUAACCUACCCUUGAAUUUGGGAUAACCCCGCGAAAGCGGGACUAAUACCGGAUACGGUUCUUUAAGCCUCGGCUUUUGGAAUUAAAGGUGACCUCUUCAUGAAAGUUGCCGUUCAGGGACGGGCUCGCGUACCAUUAGCUUGUUGGUAGGGUAAUGGCCUACCAAGGCUACGAUGGUUAGCUGGUCUGAGAGGAUGAUCAGCCACACUGGAACUGGAACACGGUCCAGACUCCUACGGGAGGCAGCAGUGAGGAAUUUUGCGCAAUGGGGGAAACCCUGACGCAGCAACGCCGCGUGAGCGAAGAAGGCCCUCGGGUCGUAAAGCUCUGUCAAGUGGGAAAAAAGCCUUUCGGUUAAUACCCGGGAGGUCUGAUGGUACCACUGGAGGAAGCACCGGCUAACUCCGUGCCAGCAGCCGCGGUAAUACGGAGGGUGCAAGCGUUGUUCGGAUUUACUGGGCGUAAAGGGCGUGCAGGCGGUUUGGUAAGUCAGAUGUGAAAGCCCUGGGCUUAACCCGGGAAGUGCAUUUGAAACUGCCUUUCUUGAGUAUGGGAGAGGAGAGUGGAAUUCCCAGUGUAGAGGUGAAAUUCGUAGAUAUUGGGAGGAACACCCGUGGCGAAGGCGACUCUCUGGACCAAUACUGACGCUGAGACGCGAAAGCGUGGGGAGCAAACAGGAUUAGAUACCCUGGUAGUCCACGCUGUAAACGAUGAGA
rnacentral:rRNA from 1 species